rnacentral:rRNA from 1 species
GUAAUGCGUAGGAAGCUGCCCGAUAGAGGGGGAUACCAGUUGGAAACGACUGUUAAUACCGCAUAAUGUCUACGGACCAAAGUGUGGGACCUUCGGGCCACAUGCUAUCGGAUGCGCCUACGUGGGAUUAGCUAGUUGGUGAGGUAAUGGCUCACCAAGGCGACGAUCUCUAGCUGGUUUGAGAGGAUGAUCAGCCACACUGGAACUGAGACACGGUCCAGACUCCUACGGGAGGCAGCAGUGGGGAAUAUUGGACAAUGGGCGCAAGCCUGAUCCAGCCAUGCCGCGUGUGUGAAGAAGGCCUUCGGGUUGUAAAGCACUUUCAGCGAGGAGGAAGGGAUGUAUGUUAAUAGCAUGCAUUUUUGACGUUACUCGCAGAAGAAGCACCGGCCAACUCUGUGCCAGCAGCCGCGGUAAUACAGAGGGUGCAAGCGUUAAUCGGAAUUACUGGGCGUAAAGCGCACGUAGGCGGUUUGUUAAGUUGGAUGUGAAAGCCCCGGGCUCAACCUGGGAAUUGCAUUCAAAACUGGCCAACUAGAGUAUGUGAGAGGGGGGUAGAAUUCCAAGUGUAGCGGUGAAAUGCGUAGAGAUUUGGAGGAAUACCAGUGGCGAAGGCGGCCCCCUGGCACAAUACUGACGCUGAGGUG